rnacentral:other from 1 species
AUCCUGGGUUGUACGCCAGUUGGUUAUGUCCUCGAGCCGAUACGUACUACCUAGGGAGACACAGGGCGCGCGGUGCGCAGGUCCGAGCACGGAAAGCCUAAAGCGCGCCCGCGUUUCCCGCCUUGAACCAUUGGGUUCAAGGGCCAAACCGACAGCGGCAACCUGGGGCA